CCUACGGGUGGCUGCAGUGAGGAAUAUUGGUCAAUGGACGCGAGUCUGAACCAGCCAUGCAGCGUGAAGGAUGACUGCCCUAUGGGUUGUAAACUUCUUUUAUAAAGGAAUAAAACGCGACACGUGUGCCUUUUUGCAUGUACUUUAUGAAUAAGGAUCGGCUAACUCCGUGCCAGCAGCCGCGGUAAUACGGAGGAUCCGAGCGUUAUCCGGAUUUAUUGGGUUUAAAGGGAGCGUAGAUGGGUUGAUAAGUCAGUUGUGAAAGCUUGCGGCUCAACCGUAAAAUUGCAACUGAUACUGGCAGUCUUGAGUAUAGUUGAGGUAGGCGGAAUGCGUGGUGUAGCGGUGAAAUGCAUAGAGAUCACAAAGAACCCCGAUUGCGAAGGCAGCUUACUAAACUGUGACUGACAUUGAUGCUCGAAAGUGUGGGGAGCAAACAGGAUUAGAUACCCUGGUAGUC
rnacentral:rRNA from 1 species